rnacentral:rRNA from 1 species
UAAUACGGAGGGUGCGAGCGUUAAUCGGAAUUACUGGGCGUAAAGCGCACGCAGGCGGCUUGUUAAGCUAGAGGUGAAAGCCCCGCGCUCAACGUGGGAACUGCCUUUAGAACUGGCAGGCUAGAGUCUUGGAGAGGGGAGUGGAAUUCCAGGUGUAGCGGUGAAAUGCGUAGAUAUCUGGAGGAACAUCAGUGGCGAAGGCGGCUCCCUGGCCAAAGACUGACGCUCAUGUGCGAAAGUGUGGGUAGCGAACAGGAUUAGAUACCCUGGUAGUCCACGCCGUAAACGAUGAGAACUAGCCGUUGGGCAGAUUUAACUGUUCAGUGGCACAGCUAACGCAUUAAGUUCUCCGCCUGGGGAGUACGGCCGCAAGGCUAAAACUCAAAUGAAUUGACGGGGGCCCGCACAAGUGGUGGAGCACGUGGUUUAAUUCGAUGCAACGCGAAGAACCUUACCAACCCUUGAAAUCUAGCGAAGUUCACAGAGAUGAGAAUGUGCCUUCGGGAACGCUAUGACAGGUGUUGCAUGGCUGUCGUCAGCUCGUGUCGUGAGAUGUAUGGUUAAGUCCAGUAACGAGCGCAACCCCUAUCCUUAUUUGCCAGCGCGUUAAGGCGGGAACUAUAGGGAGGCUGCCGGGUGAAACCCGGAGGAAGGCGGGGACGAGGUCAAGUCAUCAUGGCCCUUAUGGGUUGGGCUACACACGUGCUACAAUGGGAAGUACAGAGGGACGCUAAAGCGCGAGCUGGAGCCAAACCCUUAAAACUUUUCUUAGUCCGGAUUGGAGUCUGCAACUCGACUCCAUGAAGUCGGAAUCACUAGUAAUCGCGAAUCAGAAUGUCGCGGUGAAUACGUUCUCGGGCCUUGUACACACCGCCCGUCACAUCAUGGAAGUGGGUUGCACCAGAAGUGGUUAGUCUAACCUUCGGGAAGACGAUCACCACGGUGUGAUUCAUGACUGGGAUGAAGUCGUA